GUGUUUGCUUCAGCAGCACAAGUACUAAAACUGAAAUGAUACAAACAUUAGCAUGGUCCCUUCGCAAGGCUACAUACAAAUUCGUGAAGUAUUUUAUAUUUAA